rnacentral:rRNA from 1 species
AAGGGAAUCUUCGGCAAUGGGGGGAACCCUGACCGAGCAACGCCGCGUGUGGGUAGAAGGUUUUCGGAUCGUAUAGCUCUGUUGUUAAGGAAGAACGAGUGUGAGAAUGGAAAGUUCAUACUGUGACGGUACUUAACCUGAGUGGGACGGCUAACUACGUUCAAGCAGCCGCGGCAAUACGUAGGUCCCGAGCGUUGUCCGGAUUUAUUGGGCGUAAAGCGAGCGCAGGCGGUUAGAUAAGUAUGAAGCUAAAGGCAGUGGCUCAACCAGUGUAGGCUUUAGUAACUGUUGAACUUGAAUGCAGAAGGGCAGAGUGGAAUUCCAUGUGUAGCGGUGAAACGCGUAGAUAUAUUGAGGAACACCCGUGUGGAAAGCGGCUCUAUUGUUUAUAACUGACGCUGAGGCUCGAAAGCGGGGGGAGCGAACAGG